UGAGGAUGUUUACAGGCUCUUUAAGAGUGUCAGGAAUCGCUCAUCAGACCGACAUGGCACAGGGAAUUCAGUCCGGUACAUGUGCCUAUUGUGAGCUCGAGGGCCCAGCAACGUGUCUCACUCAGCUCAGCCCAGCACAGUGAUACCUGCUACCAUGGUGCAUGUGGAGGAGCUGCCUGCAGCUUAUCCUUUGGACCUUAACAACAGCUUGGUCUUCCAAGGCUGACUCCCAGACCUGGUCUUCCUACGUAGACUCAUUUUCCACCAUGGGCUGGGUUGUACUUUGGAGAAACUGUAAAACAGAGGGCAAGCAAGGCGUAACUUUUCCAGGUAAGACAAAAGAGAUCUUUGAGAGGAAAGGCAAGAAAGUCGACCUGAAGCCAAGCUAUGGACUUCAAGAGGCAGACAUUUGAGUGAG
rnacentral:lncRNA from 12 species